rnacentral:rRNA from 1 species
AACGAACGCUGGCGGCAUGCCUAACACAUGCAAGUCGAACGAGACCUUCGGGUCUAGUGGCGCACGGGUGCGUAACGCGUGGGAACCUGCCCUUAGGUUCGGAAUAACUCCCCGAAAGGGGUGCUAAUACCGGAUAAUCUCUUCGGACCAAAGAUUUAUCGCCUUUGGAUGGGCCCGCGUUGGAUUCGCUAGUUGGUAGGGUAAAAGCCUACCAAGGCGACGAUCCAUAGCUGGUCUGAGAGGAUGAUCAGCCACACUGGGACUGAGACACGGCCCAGACUCCUACGGGAGGCAGCAGUGGGGAAUAUUGGACAAUGGGCGAAAGCCUGAUACAGCAAUGCCGCGUGAGUGAUGAAGGCCUUAGGGUUGUAAAGCUCUUUUACCCGGGAUGAUAAUGACAGUACCGGGAGAAUAAGCUCCGGCUAACUACGUG